rnacentral:rRNA from 1 species
AACACCGGUUGAUCCUGCCGGAGGUCACUGCUAUCGGAGUCCGACUAAGCCAUGCGAGUCCAGGGGCUUCGGCACCGGCGGACUGCUCAGUAACACGUGGACAACCUGCCCUCGGGAGGGGGAUAAUCCCGGGAAACUGGGCCUAAACCCCCAUAGGCCAUGGGUGCUGGAAGGCCCCGUGGCUGAAAUUCCGAAAGGAGCCCGAGGAUGGGUCUGCGGCCUAUCAGGUUGUAGUGGGGGUAACGGCCCCACUAGCCUACGACGGGUACGGGCCC